GUGCGCAGGCUGAAUAAAAAGGCUGCGGAACUUGCGCGACGGUUUUUCGGGCCCUGUCACUGCGCCGACCUACACCGUGCGUUCUGGAGCUACAACAUGGGACGCUUUAUUUGGCUGCUGUUGCUGCUUGUAGGUUCAACAACGGGCAGCUAUCGAAGCUACGGCCACUACGGCUACGGUUACCCCUUUCCGUAUUACGGACUCGGCUAUGGGAGGUACGGCCUCGGAGGAUAUGGUCUCGGCUACGGCCUGGGAGGCUACGGACUCGGGGGCUAUGGGCUCGGAUACGGCCUUGGAUUUCCCAAGAUAUGGGGCUGACAAAUGGCGGAUGGUGGUGGCCCCACGAGAAAAGCUAGAAAUGUCUAGGAGGAAACAAGAAAGCCAGCAAAUAAUUCCACAUGGCGCGUAGCGUAAGGUAUUUCCGUCAAGAUCCCAGUGGACACCUGCUGAAUUCUUGGAGAGACCCAUCCAUAAUGUCACCGCCUACGAAACCAGAGCUUUAUACUGCUAGUCAAUAAAAGUGACCGCUUGCUGCGCGCACAUACCGUCAACCCACGAAGUUAAAACUGAAGCUACCGAGACGCCCUCCUCGUCGAAUGAGCACUGUUGACGUCAGGAUUCCUGCUUUGAAUUAAAUCACGCUCUCUAGAAUCACAUC